AGCUAGAGCUGGUGAGGGAAGGGCAGCCGCUGCAGGGAAACGAGAGCCAAUUGCGUAGCUGUUGCCACCGGAGCGGGGGAGGUUUGUUUUGCCUCCUCUCUCAUCCCAGGAGACGCAACCUUGACCCAGGUCCCGAGCAGACCUGAGCCCACAUGGACAGAUCCAAGCCCUCUCACGGCCGCUUUGACCCCCAGCUCAGCUCAUGCCGAGUUUGUUUUGAUCCUUCAAAGAUAUGCUGACUAACUUCAGAUGAGAUCUCAGAAUUCCUUAAAGUGCAUGUAUAGCUGCCACCAAAUGCACAGGACUCUCCGUAGACUUAUAACAGUAAACGUAUAAUGCUAUACUGAUUGUGAGAAAUAGUACAAUAAUGCUAAUCACAUGCUAACCUGUACUGAUUUGUCUUAUUGUCUAGUCUAGUCAACAGUCUUUGAAUAAACAUCUAUUGCUGUGUUGA